rnacentral:rRNA from 1 species
GUAGUCCACGCCGUAAACGAUGGACGCUCGGCCGUUGGGAGCUAUCAACGCUCCUGGGGGCCUUAGCUGACGCGGCAAGCGUCCCGCCUGGGAACUACGAGCGCAAGCUUAAAACUCAAAGGAAUUGACGGGGCCCGCACAAGCAGCGGAGCGUGUGGUUUAAUUCGACGCAACACGCAAAACCUUACCCAGUUUGGACAUGGAGCUGCAAGGCCGUGAAAGCGGCUCGCCUUCGAGGGUGCUCCACAGAUGCUGCAUGGCUGUCGUCAGCUCGUGUCGUGAGAUGUUGGGUUAAG